rnacentral:rRNA from 1 species
GAUGAACGCUGGCGGCGUGCCUAAUACAUGCAAGUCGAGCGAACAGACGAGGAGCUUGCUCCUCUGACGUUAGCGGCGGACGGGUGAGUAACACGUGGAUGACCUACCUAUAAGACUGGGAUAACUUCGGGAAACCGGAGCUAAUACCGGAUAACAUGUUGAACCGCAUGGUUCAACAGUGAAAGACGGUCUUGCUGUCACUUAUAGAUGGAUCCGCGCCGCAUUAGCUAGUUGGUAAGGUAACGGCUUACCAAGGCAACGAUGCGUAGCCGACCUGAGAGGGUGAUCGGCCACACUGGAACUGAGACACGGUCCAGACUCCUACGGGAGGCAGCAGUAGGGAAUCUUCCGCAAUGGGCGAAAGCCUGACGGAGCAACGCCGCGUGAGUGAAGAAGGUCUUCGGAUCGUAAAACUCUGUUAUUAGGGAAGAACAAAUGUGUAAGUAACUAUGCACGUCUUGACGGUACCUAAUCAGAAAGCCACGGCUAACUACGUG